GUGGGUCUUGCUCCCCCUGGGUCAUCCCAAUAUUCCAUUUUUUUCCUCCUCGCAGGGCUGCGGGCGGCCGUGACCCUGGUGGAGUCUGGGGGUGACCUCAAGGCCCCGGGGGAGUCCCUGCGACUCCUCUGCCGCGCCUCCGGCUUCACCUUCACAAAGUACCACAUGGGCUGGGUGCGCCAGAGCCCCGGGAAGGGGCUGGAAUGGGUCGCCAGUAUCAGGAACGAUGGUUCCAGCACCUUCUACGCGCCGUCGGUGCAGGGCCGGUUCACCCUCACCAGGGAGAACGGGCAGAGCUCGGUGACGCUGCAGAUGAACAACCUCAGGGACAAGGAUUCCGACACCUAUUUCUGCGCCAAAUAUGCUGGUGCUGGUGCUGGUUGGAAUGGUGUUGAUGGUAUCGAUGCCCUUGGUGGCGUCCCCAAAUCUUGA